GAUGAACGCUGGCGGCGUGCCUAACACAUGCAAGUCGAGCGAACAGACGAGGCGCUUGCUCCUCUGACGUUAGCGGCGGACGGGUGAGUCACACGUGUAUACCCUCCCUAUCAGACUGGGAUCACUUCGGGACACCGGAGCUAAUACCGGAUAAUCUAUUGCACCGCAGUGUUCAAUAGUGAAAUACGGUUUUUGGGUAAGUAAUAGAGGCUUCUCCGCCGCAUUGGGUGGUUGUUAAGGUAACGGCUUACCAAGGGUAGGAUGCGUGGCCGACGUGAGAGGGGGAUCGCCCACACGGGAGCUGAGACGCGGACAAGAGGCCUACGGGAGGCAGCAGUAGGGAAUCGUCCGCAAUGGGCGAAAGCCUGACGGAGCAACGGCGCGUGAGUGAUGAAGAUCUUCGGAUCGUAAAACUCUGUUAUGGGGGAAGAACAAAUGUGGAAGGAGCUGUGGACGUCGUGACGGUACCGAAUCAGAAAGCCACGGCUAACUACGUG
rnacentral:rRNA from 1 species